AGCGAACGUUUGCGGCGGGCUUAACACAUGCAAGUCGAACGGGCUGUUCCUUCGGGGGCAGUCAGUGGCGCACGGGUGCGUAACACGUAGGUAAUCAACCCUCUGGUUGGGGAUAACACUUCGAAAGGAGUGCUAAUACCCGGUAUGGCGCAGCGGUCUUCGGAUCGCGGCGAGAAAGACCCGCAAGGGUUGCCAGAGGACGAGCCUGCGGCCCAUCAGCUAGUUGGCGAGGUAACGGCUCACCAAGGCGAAGACGGGUAGCUGGUCUGAGAGGAUGAUCAGCCACACUGGAACUGAGACACGGUCCAGACUCCUACGGGAGGCAGCAGUGGGGAAUAUUGCACAAUGGAGGAAACUCUGAUGCAGCAACGCCGCGUGGAGGAUGACGCAUUUCGGUGUGUAAACUCCUUUUAUAUGGGAAGAUAAUGACGGUACCAUAUGAAUAAGCACCGGCUAACUCCGUGCCAGCAGCCGCGGUAAAGUCGAUA
rnacentral:rRNA from 1 species